rnacentral:rRNA from 1 species
UUGGUUAAGUUAGAAAGGGCGCACGGUGGAUGCCUUGGCACUAGGAGCCGAAGAAGGACGGGACUAACACCGAUAUGCUUUGGGGAGCUGUACGUAAGCGUUGAUCCAGAGAUUUCCGAAUGGGGGAACCCACUAUCUUUAGUCGGAUAGUAUCCUUACGUGAAUACAUAGCGUGAGGAAGGCAGACCCAGGGAACUGAAACAUCUAAGUACCUGGAGGAAGAGAAAGAAAAAUCGAUUUCCUGAGUAGCGGCGAGCGAAACGGAAAGAGCCCAAACCAAGAAGCUUGCUUCUUGGGGUUGUAGGACACUCUAUACGGAGUUACAAAAGAAAGUUAUAAAUGAAGCGGUCUGGAAAGGCCCGCCAAAGACGGUAACAGCCCGGUAGUUGAAAUGGCUUUCCCUCCAGAGUGGAUCCUGAGUACGGCGGAACACGUGAAAUUCCGUCGGAAUCCGGGAGGACCAUCUCCCAAGGCUAAAUACUCCCUAGUGACCGAUAGUGAACCAGUACCGUGAGGGAAAGGUGAAAAGCACCCCGGAAGGGGAGUGAAACAGUUCCUGAAACCGUGUGCCUACAAGUAGUUAGAGCCCGUUAAUGGGUGAUAGCGUGCCUUUUGUAGAAUGAACCGGCGAGUUACGAUUUGUUGCAAGGUUAAGCGGAAAAAGCGGAGCCGUAGCGAAAGCGAGUCUGAAUAGGGCGCAUAAGUAACAGGUCGUAGACCCGAAACCAGGUGAUCUACCCAUGUCCAGGAUGAAGGUAAGGUAAUACUUACUGGAGGUCCGAACCCACGCACGUUGAAAAGUGCGGGGAUGAGGUGUGGGUAGCGGAGAAAUUCCAAUCGAACUUGGAGAUAGCUGGUUCUCUCCGAAAUAGCUUUAGGGCUAGCCUCGAGGUAAAGAGUCAUGGAGGUAGAGCACUGUUUGGACUAGGGGCCCUUCUCGGGUUACCGAAUUCAGAUAAACUCCGAAUGCCAUGUACUUAUACUCGGGAGUCAGACUGCGAGUGAUAAGAUCCGUAGUCGAAAGGGAAACAGCCCAGACCACCAGUUAAGGUCCCCAAAUAUAUGUUAAGUGGAAAAGGAUGUGGGGUUGCUUAGACAACCAGGAUGUUGGCUUAGAAGCAGCCACCAUUGAAAGAGUGCGUAAUAGCUCACUGGUCGAGUGACCCCGCGCCGAAAAUGUACCGGGGCUAAACAUAUUACCGAAACUGUGGAUGAACCUCUUUAGAGGUUCGUGGUAGGAGAGCGUUCUAAGGGCGGUGAAGUCAGACCGGAAGGACUGGUGGAGCGCUUAGAAGUGAGAAUGCCGGUAUGAGUAGCGAAAGAAGGGUGAGAAUCCCUUCCACCGAAUAUCUAAGGUUUCCUGAGGAAGGCUCGUCCGCUCAGGGUUAGUCGGGACCUAAGCCGAGGCCGAUAGGCGUAGGCGAUGGACAACAGGUAGAGAUUCCUGUACCAGUGCUAAUUGUUUAACCGAUGGGGUGACACAGAAGGAUAGGGAAUCGCACGAAUGGAAAUGUGCGUCCAAGCAGUGAGUGUGAGAAGUAGGCAAAUCCGCUUCUCGCGAAGCAUGAGCUGUGAUGGGGAAGGAAAUUAAGUACGGAAGUUCCUGAUUUCACGCUGUCAAGAAAAGCCUCUAGGAAGAGUAGUACUGC